rnacentral:rRNA from 1 species
UACGUAGGGUGCGAGCGUUAAUCGGAAUUACUGGGCGUAAAGCGUGCGCAGGCGGUGCGCCAAGCUCGAUGUGAAAUCCCCGGGCUUAACCUGGGAACUGCAUUUGUGACUGCAUCGCUGGAGUGCGGGAGAGGGAUGUGGAAUUCCAGGUGUAGCGGUGAAAUGCGUAGAUAUCUGGAGGAACACCGGUGGCGAAGGCGGAUCUCUGGGCCAUUACUGACGCUGAGGAGCGAAAGCGUGGGGAGCGAACAGG